GUUGGGGUUGCGGACAUAUCAUAACGAAGAGGUAUCGUAAUUGAAGAGGUUUGGAAAGACCCACCACAGAAGGUAAUAGUCCUGUAUGUUAAACGAGAAGACUUUAGAUAUGAUCCAGAGUACCACGGGACACGUGAAACCCUGUGGGAAGCAGGAGGGACCACCCUCCAAGGCUAAAUACUACCUAGUGACCGAUAGCGUAUAGUACCGUGAGGGAAAGGUGAAAAGAACCCCGGGAGGGGAGUGAAAUAGAACCUGAAACCCUGCACUUACAAGCUGUGGAAGCACAUUUCUUGUGUGACCGCGUACUUUUUGUAGAACGGGCCAACGAGUUACGUUAAGUAGCAAGGUUAAGCACUUAAGGUGCGGAGCCGUAGCGAAAGCGAGUUUUAACUGAGCGUUCAGUUACUUGACGUAGACCCGAAACCGGGCGACCUACCCAUGAGCAGGAUGAAGCGAAAGUAAAAUUUCGUGGAGGUCCGAACCCACGAGCGUUGAAAAGCUCGGGGAUGACUUGUGGGUAGCGGUGAAAUUCCAAUCGAGCCCGGAGAUAGCUGGUUCUCCCCGAAAUAGCUUUAGGGCUAGCCUCAAGGUGAGAGAUACGGAGGUAGAGCACUGAAUGUCCUAGGGGGUAUUGCACCUACCGAAGACUAUCAAACUCCGAAUGCCGUCAUCUUAUACUUGGGAGUCAGACUGUGGGUGAUAAGAUUCAUAGUCGAAAGGGCAACAGCCCAGAUCGUCAGCUAAGGUCCCUAAAUGUAAGUUAAGUGGUAAAGGAUGUGGGAUUGCACAGACAACCAGGAUGUUGGCUUAGAAGCAGCCACUCAUUCAAAGAGUGCGUAAUAGCUCACUGGUCGAGUGAUCCUGCGCCGAAGAUUUCCGGGGCUAAAACUUACUACCGAAGCUACGGCAUCAGUAAUGAUGGGUAGGGGAGCUUCCCAUACGGGUUGAAGCAUGACCGUAAGGACAUGUGGACAGUAUGGGAGUGAGAAUGUUGGCAUGAGUAGCGAGAUGUGGGUGAGAAUCCCACAGGCCGUAAACCCAAGG
rnacentral:rRNA from 1 species